rnacentral:rRNA from 1 species
GAGUUUGAUCCUGGCUCAGAACGAACGCUGGCGGCGUGGAUAAGACAUGCAAGUCGAACGCUGAUCAGGGGGUAGCAAUAUUCCCUGGUCGGAGUGGCGCAAGGGUGCGUAACACGUGGGUAAUCUGCCGUGAAGCCUGGGAUAACUCGCUGAAAGGCGAGCUAAUACCGGAUGUGACUAUUGGGAAGCAUUUUCCGAUAUUCAAAGCUGGGGACCGCAAGGCCUGGCCCUUCACGAUGAGCCCGCGGCCUAUCAGCUAGUUGGUGAGGUAACGGCCCACCAAGGCUAAGACGGGUAGCUGGUCUGAGAGGACGACCAGCCACACUGGAACUGAGACACGGUCCAGACACCUACGGGUGGCAGCAGUCGAGAAUUUUUCACAAUGGGCGCAAGCCUGAUGGAGCGACGCCGCGUGGGGGAUGAAGGGUUUCGAUCCGUAAACCCCUGUCAUUUGCGAACAAACCUCAUGGGAUAACACCUCAUGAGUUGAUUGUAGUGAAAGAGGAAGGGACGGCUAACUCUGUGCCAGCAGCCGCGGUAAUACAGAGGUCCCAAGCGUUGUUCGGAUUCACUGGGCGUAAAGGGUGCGUAGGUGGCCAGGUAAGUUCGGUGUGAAAGCUCGGAGCUCAACUCCGAAAAGGCAUUGAAUACUAUCUGGCUGGAGGGUCGGAGGGGAGACUGGAAUUCUCGGUGUAGCAGUGAAAUGCGUAGAUAUCGAGAGGAACACCAGUGGCGAAGGCGAGUCUC